AGACGACCUGAGCAACAGAGAUGUGAGCUGCUCCGACAUACUGAAGGCUGAACUUUGCCUGCUUCCAGACGCUACCAACAUGGACACAUUUACUCACCAAAGGAGACCGAUAACUCGCUCCUGCAGUCUUGGGGAUACGCUGACCAGGAGCGCCACCUUCCAUGCUUUAACCCAGACCACAGACCAACACCAGGAAGAGGAGGGGUCGCCACGACAACGACGAAUAACUGUUGCAUCAUAUAUGCCUCAGUCUAAGGAUCAGAAUGGAAACUUCCCUGAG